AUUGAACGCUGGCGGCAGGCUUAACACAUGCAAGUCGAGCGGAGACUUCGGUCUUAGCGGCGAACGGGUGAGUAAUACCUAGGAAUCUGCCCAUUAGCGGGGGACAACGUUUCGAAAGGAACGCUAAUACCGCAUACGCCCUACGGGGAAAGCAGGGGAUCUUUUGACCUUGCACUAAUGGGUGAGCCUAGGCCGGAUCAGCUAGUUGGUAGGGUAAAGGCCUACCAAGGCGACGAUCUGUAGCUGGUCUGAGAGGAUGACCAGCCACACUGGAACUGAGACACGGUCCAGACUCCUACGGGAGGCAGCAGUGGGGAAUAUUGGACAAUGGGCGCAAGCCUGAUCCAGCCAUGCCGCGUGUGUGAAGAAGGCCUCGGUUGUAA
rnacentral:rRNA from 1 species